rnacentral:lncRNA from 1 species
GAAAUUGAUGGUCAAAAACUGUACUCUUGGAAUGUUGAAUGUAGCAGCCCUGUUCAGAAGUGCAUGCUUGUACCCAAAUAUGACUCUACACAUAUGUGGUCUAAAAUCUGUCUCCAAAAACCAGUCUACUGGAGAAACUGAGGUGACUUGGCAUGUACCCACAGGUUUGUGGCACACUAACUGGAUGAGUGGUUACAGAUGAGGAUCACAGAGGGAAGAAUCUGGGAAUCAUGGAGAAAGCUGUAAAGCCCUGACAGAUAAGCCCUGUGCUUUGUCUUAGAGAUACAGUGGGGGAAAAGGAAUAGCUACAUCCUCAAGGAGCUAUUUUUGGAGAAAAAGAUAGGAUAACAGGAACAAGAUAAUAGAGUACAUCAUGUUAAAUGCUACGAAAGAAAAAGUGCAGUUCUACAGGGAAAGAGGAAAGCCAUCUAAACAAGUCAUAGAGGUGGUGGGACUCUCAACGCUGACAUCCAGAUUUCUGCUUAGGUAGCUGGAUACACCAAGGCUCUUUCUACAAGGUGGAAGGAAAGAAUGCUUCUUUUCUGAGAAUCUCAGCAAAAUUCAGAAAGAGCACUCACUGUCUAACUUUGGUGAUGGAUCCUCCCCUAAUCCAAAAACUAUGACAAAGAAAUGCAGAAUUAUAAUGGGUUAGGUCGAGGGCAUGUGUCCACUCCAUGAUGGAAGUGAAGAAGGAGUUAUUUCCAUUCGAUCUAUAUGGAAUAUGUUAUUGAUAAGAGAAAUCUUAUCAAUUUAAUUUUUAAUGGAAGAUAAAUGAAGAGAUGUCGGGCAGGUUGAAAUCAACCAAUGUCCACUCGGUCCGUUCAUGCAUACAUCAUGUCUGGUGGGGUGCCUCCCUGCUUAGGCUUUUAACUUAUCAAUCCUGGGUCACAGUCAUUAUCUCUGGUCAAGUAAAUUCACUUGGAAUGAAACAUGUCUGUGACACCUAUGUUCUCCUUUAUCUUGUACAAAGUAUUAACUCUGUAAACCAGAGAGUAAAAAGAUUCUCUAAAAGAGUCAUUUGCAAAGUGUGAUCCUACAGCAGCAUCAAUACCAGCUUGAAACUUGGUAGAAAGGCAAACAGUUGGAUGCCACCCAGACCUACUAAAGCAAAUCUCCAGGGUGGGACACAGUAAUGUGUUUUCUCAAGCCCUCUAGGUGAUGCUGAAGUACACUAAACCUGAGAACCACUGCUAUUUAGAGAUAGUUCAGAAUCACUUAACCGUUGGUCACUUCGGAACCUCAGAUAGAACCUUUCUCUUAAUAAUCUGCAUGAGGAUCUCUUCUCUGCUCAUUUUGAUUCAACAGGUGUGGGAUGGUGCUUGUUCAUCUGUAUUUUACCAGAGCUCCAGAAGUAAUUUAACUGUGUAUUCAAGUUUAAGGACCACUGUUUGAAAAGAGCAAAAUGUUUAAGGUAAGGCUGGUAGCUAAAUUUCAACAGUGUAGGCAGCCACCACAAUUCAAGAACAGCCCGUUAAUUGGGACAGAAUAGAAACUGACCCCAGGAUUUGAAAGCAGCUGUAGCAGAAGAACUCAAGCCAGGAAGGCUAAUGAAAUGUGAUGACGAUGAAGGAAGCCCUUUCAAAGGAUGUGGUAUAACUGAGCAACACUCAGGAACUGAAGAAGAGAGAGGCUCCUGCAACUCAGCAAUCCUAGAGAUUUGGAAGGGGACAAGGCACAGAACAAAAGAAUGUUUGAGCAAAGGCAUUAGAUAAUCUUGCAAGGUCUAGAGGCAGGGCCCUAGGUGGCAACAGAUUCUACCACCAGGCUACGGACAAUAUGCAUACAGAUAUCUUCCAAAAUAUAGACAUUUUCUGUUAUUUCAGCUCUCCUGACACACGUGGAAAACAACUCACCAGCAGUGUCAUUUUGGGAUAUAGAAAGCAAAGAGACAUAACACCCUUCAACAAGAAUCUUGGCAGCAUCAGUAAUCUCAACACGUAUUAAAAAUACCAGCAAGUGCUUGAUUUCCUGAGGGAUAGUUAUGCAGAAAAGGGUGACCAGCUGUUCUCCCUUUCCCAGAGGAUGUGAGCUUAAGUGGCAAUACAGGGGAUGCAGGUUAUCAUAAGGAGAUACUUCUGCCAAGAAAGUCUUGAGAUGCAGACACUAAAAUGGAUUAUCACGAGAAGCUGAGGAAGGCCAGAGGGAGCUGUCUCCUGGGGUGGGGCCCAUUGCACUCAGAGCUCUUCUUGCUUCCCUGAGAUAGUCCCUGGUAUCUCUGCAAACUCCAUCGAAGGAAGCAGACGUGGAACAGUUUCUAAUACGUGGUUUGCCAAAACAUUGAGGACUUGAGGGAAUGAGGCACAGAGCCUGUUAGGUUUAAAUAAUCCUCUGACGGCUCCCCUGGGAACUCCCUAACAAUCCAAAUUAGAGCAUGCAUGCAAGCAAUCUAUUCUUGAGUAUUUAAUAAAGGAUGUUCCAGUUGGUGGAUUUCCGUGACCCUUCGCUUCUUUUUUCUACCUACUUUUAAUCAUUUCACUGCCUUUUAGCACUUCCACCAAGUGAUGGUAGAUGGAAACUGGAGAGAAAAACUCAAGUCAGUUUUGCUAUAGGUUAGCAGCUCUGCUAUAGGAAGUGGCCUCCUAAAACUCAGAGGGACAAAAGCCUGCUUAAUAAACACAGUAAAGGGAAUGCCGUCUAUCUGAAGUCUCCCCAGAAACAGUGUGGUGUAAGAAAGAUGGCACAGGAUUGACAGUUGGUCAACUUCAUUCUCGUACAAAUUGAAUCUCCGUUCAUCACUGGUAAGACUGAGAUAAAACCCUUUACCUAGUGGGGUCCUGGUAGGAACCAAAUAAGCUAAUAAAUGCUCAGUGUGGAACACUCUCUCCCUGUGCUGUUAGUGCUGCUAAACCACAGAACCCUGGCUCAUCCUUUAAACAGAAUCCUGAAGGACCCCAAAACCAGGUCUAAGGGGAGGAAGAAUAAAUGAAGAAGAAAGGAGCAGUGAAAGGCAGAAAUGUAGGAGCUGAAUCAAUAGCACACAGACUGCUGGGGCUGUUGCAUCUCUAAAGCUAUUGCCUACUACUGGUACUACUACCACCACCACUAUUAUUGGGAGUUUAUUAAGGACUUGCUGUAUGCCAAAGACUCAAGUAUAUGGCCUCUGAUCAUCUAACUAGUAAGUGCAGAUCCUGGAUCAGAACCGAAAUAUGCCUGAAUUCAAAGCCCAUGCAUUUGUUACACCCUGGAUGAUGGUGAACAAAGACUAGAUUCCAGUGAAGGAAUGCUAUGUGUUUCUAACUUUUUUUAACGGUUUUUUUUUUAAUUCUCCAUGCAGACUCUCACUAAGUGAGGUUCCCUAAGCUUGCUCUUACUCCCUGUAAUCUGACAGAGCCUGAAUAUACAACUUGAGUUCCCCCAUGUGUUUGCUCCUGACCUCUAUUUGAUAGAGCAAUCUCUUAAGUAGAAACUGGUUUCUGGACAUCUUCACGCUAGCAUGGUUAUUUAAUACUAUGAAUCUCCCUCUGUACACUGCUUUAACUGCAUCUCACAGAUUUCGAUAAUUUUUGUUCCAUUUUUCUAAUUUCCCUUUGGAUUUCCUCUCUGACUUAUUAUUUAGAUGUAUAUUGUUUAAUUUUCAACAGUUUGGAGAUUUUACUAUUGUCUUCCUGUUAUUGAUUUCUAAUUUAAUUUCAUUAUGGUUGGAAAAUACACUUUGUUUGAUUUUAUUUCUUUUAAGUUGUUGUUUAUUUUAUGACCAAGGAUAUAAUCUAUCUUGAUAAAUGUCCAUGUGUUCUUGAAAGGUAUGUGUAUUCUGUUAUUGUUAGAUAGUAUCAGUUAAAUCCAUUUGUUAGAUAAGUAUCAGUUAAAUCCAUUUGGCUGUGGUAUUAUAUUUGUUCCUCUUUUUCCCUGCUGAUUUUAUUUCUACCUUUUUACUGAUUACUGAAAGAGAUGUCAAAGUCUUUAACUAUAAUUUCUCCUCCUAUUUCUCUUACCUUUAUUUUGACAUUAUGUUGUUAGGUAUAUAAAUGCUUAGGCUAUUAUGUUUAUCUGUGAUUUUAUCAUUAUGUAGUGUCUCUCUUUAUCCCUAGUAAUUUUACUUACUGUGAAGUGUACUUUAUCUGAUAUUUAUAUAGCCACA